CGAGGUGCAGGUGAUGACAAUGUGAUCGAUGACUGACGGUGAUUCAUUAUCAAAGUAAACGCCCUGAUGCACCCAGA